rnacentral:SRP_RNA from 1 species
GCCAGGCUUAGUGGCACAUGCCUCUAAUCUCAGCUUCCAGGAAGACUGAGGCUGAAGAAUUGCUUGAGCUUGGGCAUUCUGAGCUUCAGCAGGAUAAACCAAAUGGGUGUCCACACUAAAUCUGGCAUCGAUAAAGUGACCUCCUAGAAGAUGAGGAAGAACACCAGGUUGCCUGAGGAGAAGUGAACUUACUCAGGUCAGAAACAAAGCAGGUCAAGGCUUCCAUGCUGCUUAGUAGUAGGAUCAGGCCCAUGAGGAACCUUCAUUUAUAGCCUGGAUUAGAUGGGAAGGCCCAUUCUUA